GGUCGCUGGAGGGGCGGCUCGCACGAGGGCAGGGGGCCGCGGACUGGCCUGCGGGGCCCCUCGGCCUGCUUACCCGCCAGCGCCGGGCGUGGGGCGGGGAGGGGCGUCCUCUGAGCCACCCCAGACAUCCGCCUCCUUGCUUCGGGUUUUCCUAAAACCCACCCCGGCCCGCCCUGCGGCCCUCUCCCCACCCCAGGUCUUCCCUUUCCCCUCCUCCUCCCCCUCCGCCGUCCAUCAGUCUAGAAAGACCCGCCGGCCCGAGGAUUCCAGCCGCCCCCUGCUCUCCAGGGAACCCGGGACCAGUUCCUUCCUGGCCUUCGGGGCCCAUCCACGCAGGCCAGAGCCGCUGACCCGUUUUACGAUUGGGGGCUGGGGUGGGGAGAGGGCGGAGAAAUCAAAGAGGAACUAAAGGCUGGGUCUUUAGAGGGCCUGAAAGGGAAGAUUCACUCCUGGAGGUUGAGGAAUCCGGAGUUCUCAACUCUCUGGGGCCUUCCAAGACCUCCCUCUGCCCAUCCCCUUCCCUCCUACCUCUGCCUCCACUACUGCUGGGGUUGUGUGGGGGAGGAGUUCACCACUGUUACAGAAGGCUAAAAGGCUGAGCCAAGGGUGGGGAAACGCAGACCAACUGGGAUCUGGAUGGCCCCUGGGCAGCACCGACUUCCUCUACCAUUCACACUGCAGGAAAAGAAGGGGACACGGGUUCGAGCGCUGGUCUGGGAAGAUCCCACAUGCCACGGAGCAACGAAGCCCAUGCACCACAACUGCUGAGCCUGCGCUCUAGAGCCUGCGAGCCACAGCUACUGAGCCCAUGCACUGCAACUACUGAGGCCUGAGCGCCAGGAGCCGGUGCUCCGCAACAAGAGAAGCCACCACAAUGAGAAGCCCACACACCACAACAAAGAGCAGCCCCCACUCUCUGCAACUACAGAAAGCCCGCACACGCAGCAACGAAGACCCA